rnacentral:pre_miRNA from 1 species
CAGCACUAGCAGUUGAAGCUGCCAGCAUGAUCUAAACUUCCCUUUUUAGUUCAAAUAUGAUAUGAGGAAAGAUCAGAUCAUGUGGCAGCCUCACCUGUUGAUGCC